rnacentral:tRNA from 1 species
GGGCCCAUAGGUAAGUGGUAUACCGCGGCAUUCGCAUUGCCGAGUCCCGAGUUCGAUUCUCGGUGGGUCCA